UACACACUAAGCAGUACAGAAUUUGAAAAAUAUAAAAGUUAAAACCUAAGGCAUCACCUCCAGAUCUUUCACCAUCCUUGUGUCCCUCCUUUGCAUGCUCUCUAAGAGCUUUAGGUAUUUCUUAUCGUGGUGGCCAAAACUGCCCAGCGCUAAGAGUGGCACACUAACCUUGAAUGACAAAAUCAUUAACAAAACAUGUUCAAGCUAUAUUGGCAUUGCUCUGAUCCAUGUGACUCAUGGAUGGUUAUCCAUGAAGGCAUCCAGAUAUUAACUUCCAUUACAAAAACUAUGGGAGAUAAGAGCCUAGGAAGAUGUCUGUGAGGAUCUGGGAUUCAGUGAUGUGCAUGCUCAGAUUUCACCAAAAUAUCAGUGCCAGCACUGCUUAAUAAAGCAAGACAAAGUUAUCAAAAAACCUAGGCAAAAAUAGCCACUGGUUUUCAAAGAAAUCUGUGUUCCCAAGUCACAUAGACACUUUCAAUUGUUCUACAAUUAAAAGUAAUGAGCACCAGUUGUGCUAAGCAUUUGAUGGUAUAAAGGCUUUUAUUUGGUUGUGGGAUACUGUUCAUGCCUAGUGUCCAACACAAACCAAAACCCAGCAAGGAACCAGGUGAAGAGACAGUUGUAAAUGAGUUUCCUGCUGUGUCUUAUGUUCAUGUUCCAGAGGUUCUUGCUCUGGAUUUUCCCUGUCCAGCUUGCUUAUACAAAUGUAAACAAUAAUGUCUCCAUCCUCAAGGAGCCCAAGUGAGACUUCAUAAACUAAACAAAGUGUGUUAACAAGGUUUCUCAAUCAGCUGAAAGCGAGCAGCAGUUUACACAUUAAUAUCUGGUUUUAAUUAACACUUAGGAGAGAGUGAGAAACACUGGAUGCACUUUGAAGUAACACAAAUAAAAGUACCACUCUUAGACAGUUCUCAAUGUAAACAUCUAAACUGAAAAUAAAAUUGUUCCUGAUAUGGUAAAUUUCCCUUUUGUGAAAAAAGGCAGUUUAACCCUUCCUUUCCACAGUAAGACAGGUCCUUUGAACAUCUCGCUUUUGAUGAUGAGAACGUCUCACUUGUAGUGAAAUUAUUAAAACACACUUCACAGCACUCAGGGAUCUGGGAGGUUUCAGUCCAGUCUCGGACUUUACAGUCCUUCCUGAGCAGAUUAUUCCUGUGUGGAAGCAUACCCUCUUCUCUGGCUUCAGCCUGGAUUUGGUACUGUGUUUCUCACAUCUGGUAAAAAACUACCCUGCAAGCUUGACAAAUGAUAGUGUAACAGUGACUAUUUGAAAAUCAGAUGGGGAAUCCCGCAGGUCCAAUUUUUAUUUAGGCUUGGCUUGCUGGCUCAUUCCAGUGACCUCCGAUGAGGUUUGGCAUAGGAUACUCAUGCUUGCAACAUAUAUUUUUCCUCCUUUUUAUACAACUUUUUCAUCCAAAGUUUCAACAUGGCCACAACUUUGGUUGUAUUUUCUUUUUCUGUCCUCUUUUUUGCUUUUUACCAUGGGUAGAAUAAAAUGAUUGAUGGCCCAGGAUUCAGUGAUUUACCUUUUAUUCCUGCAUCUUAGCAAAACUUAGAGUCUGAGUUUGGAAGUUUGAAUGCAUUUCACUCCCCUUUGCAAUUCAACUUUUCCAAAGUUUAAUAAGUUUUAACUGUAGCACAAAGAAACCUUAUAAAAAUAUUACAUCCAUCAUAUUAUACUAGCUGGCAGAAAAAAGAAAAGAUUAUUCAAAAUUUUUAUUAAAACUUGAGCAAAAUUAUUUUUAGGAAAGUCUCCCUCGGAAAGCUUCCACACUUGAAAGGUUUUUCCCACUAGAGCAAAGAAAAAGAGAUUUUACUAUGUAGAAUAUGGUAGCAUAUCCCUAGCUCCAGCUCUUCCCAAACUUCCAGUGGAGAGCUACAUCUGCAGUGGUUUGGGUGAGUGUGUGGGCACACGCUCCAAACCAGCCAUCACUCACAUACAGCUGCGAAAGGCCCACAGUGAUGGUGGAGCUUUCCCUGACCCAGAGCUGUGUCUGCAGCUGGGACACGAGAGAGGCUUGGCCACAAGUGAGCCCAGCCAGGUGUGGUGCUUGGUGUCCACAGGUGACGCCAGGUGGAGGCAAACCUGGACACGCACGGCGUGAGUGGCAGCCAGGCCAUGCUCCCCCCUGCAGUGUGUGGCACAUCCCACAGGGCAUUCCCACCAAACGCAGGCGGGUGUGCUUUUCCCCAAGGAGUAUUUAAAGUAGUUUUAUCACUGUUCAAUCUGGAGACAUCGGAACUCUUUUUUUUUGAGGCUGGUGUGCUCACCUUGGCCCGAGGGCAGAUGGGCUCCAGUGGCAGGGGCCAGGCUGCAGCCGCCUUCCAACCUUCCCCUGAGUUCUCCUGUCCAAGGCCUCUCCAAACUGAUUUACGGCUCCCUCCGAGUGCCUGGGAUGGAAUUAGAGUGCCUUGUAUUACACAGUGCCUUCCCUGUUACUCUUGCUGCAUGCCACAGAUUUAUGAUGGCUUUUAAGCCAGGCAGCACGUAAAGAAAUAUGAUCUUAACAAAAUAUAGAAGGGACCAAAGGAGGUCAAUGUGUGGGAGCUGAACACUAUAUGGUGAUCCGGGAUUUCCUUUUAUUUACUGCUCACACCUUUUCAAUCUCAAGUGGAUUUGGGCUGUCUCAGGCAGCCCUACCCCACAUAAUCCUCUGAGCCCAGAGACUUUGCCAUCAGCGGAUGUCUUUCAUUACGAUUUAGCACAUGUAGGAAAUCCCAAAAUGCCACUGGUGAAUUAAAUGAAUUUUGAACACAGAGUGCCAGAAAGACACACAGCAUCAGGGUAGGUAGGAACCCCACAUUCAUCCGGGCAGCCUUUCUGUCUCCUGACAUCUCUUGCUGUGGCACCAGCUGAGGGUUUUCCAGGUCAGUGGUGUCCUGCAGUGCUCCUCUGCUUUCAGUGCUGAAGGAGAAUCAUUUGUGAGAGUCCUUCAUGGAGACAUGGAGCAAAAGCUGUGCCCGAUUCCAUUGCUAGGACUGUGGGACAAGGAAAGUAAUGCUGUAAGCAGUUCUACUUUAUAGCUUUAUUUACAUAGAUUCAUCAAUUAUUCCUAAACUGUAGCACACAAGAAAAAUAGAGGCCUUGCCCUUAGCCUGCAGACGGAUAAUGUGAGACCUGCAGCAGGUGCAAGGUGUCUUGAGCACAAGGGCAGAGCUGCAGGGAGUCACCUGCAGGACCAUGGCCUGACUUAAACACUGCCUCAAACUGCAAAGGGAAACAGCUGGCAAGGGGGAGGGAAGCUGUAAUUACAGCCAACAACUGACUCCUGAGCUAGUGACUACUGCUGAGAGCCUGAUCUUGAACCAGAAGCCAAGAACGGGAGCCUUUUCUUUUCUGGGUGAGGGCUGUCAUUCCCUCUAGCUACAGUAUCAUUCUGUCCAUUACUAAAACAAGGUCUGGUGUACUCCCUUUCAUUCAGAUUUAUUAUCAUUAUUUCUCUAGCUGGGGAAAGAAAUUUGUCUCCCUUCUAGCCUAGGGCUGUAGCAAGGUUCCCAUGGUGUGGGGGUUUUGCUGGUGUUAUUUGGGGGGAGGGAUGCUGGUGGUCUGUUUCUUUUUGGAAGGCACAUAACAGUUCAUAUAGUAGUUCACCUGCUCUUGUAAGCUUCCAGAGCAACAUCCUUUCCAGUUCUCUAGCUGCUGGUUGCUGCUCACACUGUAAGCUCUUUCUAGAGCAAGAAGGGUUGAACCAGGCUGGUCCCCAGAUGUUCUUUGGGAAUUUCACAGGCCACGAGUGAUUUGAAGCACCUUUUUUUAGAAGUCUGGACUCUUGUGAGAUUUAAGGCAGACAUCAGCACUGACAGUCACCACAAAACUGCCUCCUCUUGACCAAGUUCACAGGUGACUCGCAUUGAUAAAGUAAGCAGCACCCCUUUAGUUUUCUACACAGAAUAUGGUUAAAACAAAUAGAGUAGUUGCUGGAAAUAAUCCGCAGGAGGUUUGAUACUCUGCUGGUCACACCAUUGUUGCCAUUUCUUUCCCAGGUGCAGUUCCUCAAAGCCUGGGCUUUGCCUGAGAAGGUCUCAGCUAUGGGUGUUCUCCUGAGAUUCCAGGUCUCCUCAAGAGUGGCAUCCAAAGAAGGGGGUGACUUGGCUUCAGAAGCACAGUGGAGAUCAAUCUCAGAGUCUCUGUGUGUGUGUGGGUCCCCCACUUUGGCCAGGGCUGGACUUCAGCUGAAAGCAGCCCAAGCUGACAGCAGACUUUGCUAGGGGUAAUCAUGUAGUAAUUUUUUCACUGUGUUUCCCUAUCUUGGUGACACACUUGGCUUGUGCAAGAGCCACAAAGAUGUUCAUCAGGUCCCACUUCUCCUGUCAGGAGCCUCUUGCCUGUGCACUUGAUCUGUGUGCUCAAUUAUAACCAUUCCAGUGGGACACAAAACUCAUAUUUUAUGUUGAAUGAAAUUAUGAAGUCACAGCCUAAACUAUGUCGCACUUCUUGCUGGGCCGUGUAAUGCAUAUUUAAAGGAAGAAAGGUCAAAACAUUGCACCAGCAUAGAAAGGGGCACAUGAUGUUUUUCUCUGUAGAACAGGGAUCACCCUGUAUGCUUCUCUGCCAAGGCUUCAGCAAGCUUGACGGCACAAAAAUUAACUUUUCUAUUUAGCAGGGCCAGGAAACGUUGUAAGAACAGUCAGUGAGAGGAUGACUGAGGGGACUGAGCCUUUCACACUUGCUGUGGCUUUAUGCCUUACACUUUCAGGAGAACACAGCCUCUUCUUUCCUAUGCACCCAUAGACAGACCAUACGGAUAAAGGAAUAACAGAAAUUCUGAUCACCUCUGAGCCUUGAAAAUGUUCCUUCUUCUAUUGGUGACAUAUCUAGGUCCAAAAAAGCCAAAAACUCCUAAACAUACCUGUAGUUUUCUACUUCAUAGCUACAAGCAGAAAUCAAUACUGAAGGUCUGUAAACAGUGCUCUGGCUAUGUAGUGUCCUUCAUCUCAACUGUGGGCUGUAGGAAACCUCAAUUCCCUGGCUGCAAUAAAUGCUGCAGGCUCCAGAGCCAAGCAAAAAGUUUCACUAAAAGUAGAUAGAUAGAUAGAUAGAUAGAUAGAUAGAUAGAUAGAUAUCUGCUGAUGCAGUCUCUCACUCUGGCAUCUGAAGUACAUAGACCUCUUCUGGAGGCACUGGAUGAUUUAGAUUUCAGGGUCGCUGCAGAAGCCUUCCAGCUGUCAGCAUGCAGCGAGUGCCUUGCGGUUCUGUAUAAAGACUUCCUGAUGCCCAAAGGCACUGAGCUCCCAUUGCUUUACAUGCCUGGCCUUACCAGUUCGUGAGUUACUCGCCUCAUGUGAGCGAGCCAGCGACACCUUCUGUGCUCUUAGGCAGGCACUGCUGGAAUUUUACGAGGCACUGGGUUUGGCAGUUCAUGGCUAUGGCAGCAUUGGUGCAGUGCAUGAUGUUUUGGCUUUCAGGAAGCUUGGUGACUUUGAGGAAAUGUCUUGCUGGUGCUUUAGCACCAGACAAGCCCUGCUCUUCUAUAAACAUUUAAUGAAAUGCAGUUUUUUGUUGAUUUGUGCCUUAAGUCUCUCUUAGCACUGCAUGCUGCAGCCUGAACUUGCCUCUUCUUCCUUAAAUGAGAUUAUCCAGAGCAUUGUCAAGCAAAAUCUUUAAUAUUUCCACUAAGGAAGGUCCCACCUCUUCUCUGGGAAGCCUAUUGCUCAAUUAUUUUCUGUCUGAAGAAUUAGUUUUUUCCUAUAUCCAGAAGGAAUUUCCCCUAAACUGUCUUGUGCCCACGGCCUCCUGUCCUGGCACCAGAAAUCCUUUGGAAAAGAAUGUCUCCAUCUCCUCUAGAACCACCUCCUUUGGGUGUUGAGACACUGACUAGACCCAUCCUGGGCCUUGCCUUCCCCAGGCUGAACAAACCCACUUCCUUUAGCCUUUCUUCAUGGGUCAGGUUCUCCAACCCUCUCUCCAAUGGACCCUCUCCAGUUCUUCAGUGUCUCCCAAUGUCUUUCAUUUUCUUGAGCUGGGGGGCCAAAAGUGGGCAUCAAAUUCCAGGUUCAUCCCAACAAGUCUUGAGUAGCUGUGGCCUGAUCAAUAUGUUCAUGCAGAUACUGGAAUAAAAGGAUAAAAAAAAUCUAAAAUUCAGCUUCAAUAUACAGAAUUAAUUUCUUUCAGUACCAAAACAAGUUCAGAAACGGAGAUUAACUCUCUCCUAUUGCAAGGUUCUUACACAAAGAUGAGACCUCAAAAAAAAAAAAAAAAAAAAAAAAAAGAGUAAAGCAGGGAGAAAUUA